UACAGAGGUCUCAACCGUUGCUCGGAUUCAUUGGGCGUAAAGGGCGCGUAGGCGGUCGUGCAAGUCGGAUGUGAAAUCUCAGGGCUCAACCCUGAAACUGCAUUCGAUACUGCGCGGCUAGAGUGCUGGAGGGGAGACUGGAAUUUACGGUGUAGCAGUGAAAUGCGUAGAUAUCGUAAGGAAGACCAGUGGCGAAGGCGAGUCUCUGGACAGCAACUGACGCUGAGGCACGAAGGCCAGGGGAGCAAACGGG
rnacentral:rRNA from 1 species